GCCGGGCACUGAGGCCCAUGCCUGGAGUCCCAGCCACUUGGGAGGCUGAGGCAGGAGGAUGUCUUGAGCUUAGGAGUCCAAGGCCAUCCUGGGCAAGACCCCACCUCAG
rnacentral:sRNA from 1 species